UAUUUUAGGAGAAAUGGGGUGG
rnacentral:piRNA from 1 species